rnacentral:rRNA from 1 species
UACGUAGGGUGCGAGCGUUAAUCGGAAUUACUGGGCGUAAAGCGCACGUAGGCGGAUUUGUAAGUCAGGGGUGAAAUCCCAGGGCUCAACCCUGGAACUGCCUUUGAUACUGUCGAUCUGGAGUAUGGAAGAGGUGAGUGGAAUUCCGAGUGUAGAGGUGAAAUUCGUAGAUAUUCGGAGGAACACCAGUGGCGAAGGCGGCUCACUGGUCCAUUACUGACGCUGAGGUGCGAAAGCGUGGGGAGCAAACAGG